AUAUUUAGGUGCUUCAGUGUUGGAUGUAUAUAUUUACAAUUGUUAUAGCCUCUUGAUGAAUUGACUCCUUUGUCAUUUUAUAAUGACCUACUUUGUCUCUUUGACAUUUUUUGAUUUAAAGUUUAUUUUGUAUAAGUAUAGGCACUGGUUCUCUCUUGGGGAUUACCACUUGCAUAAAAUAUCUUUUUUCAUCCCUUCACUUUGUUUGUUUGUUUGUUUGUUUGCUUUUUAAGGCUUCACCCAUGGCAUAUGGAGGUUCUCAGGGUAGGGGUCAAAUUAGAGCUACAGCUGCCAGCUUACACCACAGCCACAGCAAUGUGGGAUCCUAGCCUCAUCUGUGACCUACACCACAGCUCACAACAAUGCCAGAUUCUUAACCCACUGAGCGAUGUCAGGGAUUGAAUCCACAACCUCAUGGUUCCUAGAAAGAUUUUUUUCUGCUGCUCCAUGACGGGAACUUCCAUCCAUUCACUGUCAACUACGUGUGUCCUUAAACUAAAAUGGGUAUCAUGUAGGCAGCAUAUUGCUGGGUUUUUUUUCCUUUUAUCCAUUCAGCCAGUCUGUCUUUUGAUUGGGGAAUUUAAUCCAUUAAUAUUUAAAGUAACUAUUACAGAUAAGAACCUUCUAUUGUGAUGUAAAAAUUAUUUUGGUAAUGUUUGUAGUUCUUUUCUUCCUCUCUCGAUGUCUUCCUUUGUGAUUUGAUAGUUUCCUGUAGUGGUAUGUUUUGAUUAUAUUCUUAUUAUGUGGUUUGUAUCUACCAUAAGAUUUUUGUUUUGUGGUUACAAAGAAGCUUACCUAAAACACCUUAUAGUUAAAACAGUCAAUUUUAAGCUAUAACAACUUAACUUCAAUUGCAUUAAAAACUCUGCACUUUUACUUCUAUUUUACAUUGCUUUACAAUUUACCUCUUUUUUCUUGUGUAUCCAUUAACAAAUUAUUACACCUUUGGUUAUUUUUAAUAGUUUUUUUGUUUUUUUAAUUUUUUUCCCCUAAAGUUAAAAGUAGUUUAUGAACUACCAUUACAGUGUUAAGGUAUUUUGAAGUUGACUAUCUAUAUGUAUUUACCAGUGAAUUUAAUAUUUUCAAAUGUUGUUAUGUUACUAACAACAUCCUUUCAUUUCAACUUGAAAAACUUCAUUUAAUUUUCCUUGUGAAGCAGGUUUAGUGGUGACGAGUAUUUCAGCUUUUUUUUUUUUUUUUUUUGGUUUUCAAAUUAUUUCUUUUUCCUUCAUUUUUAAGUAUAGUUUUGCCAAAUACAGUAUUCUUGGUUGGCUGUUAUUUUUCUUUCAGCGCUAUGAGUAUAUCAUCCUAGUCUCUCCUUAGCUGUAAGAUUUCUUCUGGUAAAUCCACUGAUACCCUUAUGAGGGUGCUCUUGUAUGUGAUGAAUCUCUCUUCUCUUACUUCUUUCUAUUUUUUUGUAUUUGACUAUGAAUCAUUUAAGAAAAGUUAAUGGCAAACUUUUUCAAAAAAUAAGAGGAGAAGACCCUUUCAAAAUCACCUUAUGAGGCCAGAAUUACCUUGAUUCCAAAACAGACAAAAGCACAAAAGAAUAAAUCACUAGGUCAAUAUCCUUGAUAAAUAUAUAUGCAAAACUCAACAAAAUACUUGAAAGUUAAAUCCAACAACACAUUGAAAACAUUAAAAUGAUCACAGGCCAUGGGGAAAAAAAAAAACAAGGGGCAUUUAUCCCCA
rnacentral:lncRNA from 1 species